GACGAACGCUGGCGGCGUGCUUAACACAUGCAAGUCGAACGGAAAGGCCCUGCUUUUGUGGGGUGCUCGAGUGGCGAACGGGUGAGUAACACGUGAGUAACCUGCCCUUGACUUUGGGAUAACUUCAGGAAACUGGGGCUAAUACCGGAUAGGAGCUCCUGCUGCAUGGUGGGGGUUGGAAAGUUUCGGCGGUUGGGGAUGGACUCGCGGCUUAUCAGCUUGUUGGUGAGGUAGUGGCUUACCAAGGCUUUGACGGGUAGCCGGCCUGAGAGGGUGACCGGGCACAUGGGGACUGCGAUACGGAGCAGACUGCUACGGGGGGCAGCAGUGGGGAAUAUUGCGCAAUGGGCGGAAGCCUGAUGCAGCGACGCCGCGUGCGGGAUGACGGCCUUCGGGUUGUAAACAGCUUUCGCCUGAGACGAAGCGGGAGUGACGGUAAUGGGUAAAGAAGCACCGGCUAACUACGUG
rnacentral:rRNA from 1 species